AUUGAACGCUGGCGGCAGGCCUAACACAUGCAAGUCGAACGGUAGCACAGAGAGCUUGCUCUCGGGUGACGAGUGGCGGACGGGUGAGUAACGUCUGGGAAACUGCCCGAUGGAGGGGGAUAACUACCGGAAACGGUAGCUAAUACCGCAUAACGUCGCAAGACCAAAGUGGGGGACCUUCGGGCCUCACACCAUCGGAUGUGCCCAGAUGGGAUUAGCUAGUAGGUGGGGGAAUGGCUCACCUAGGCGACGAUCACUAGCUGGGCUGAGAGGAUGACCAGCCACACGGGAACGGAGACACGGUCCAGACGCCGACGGGAGGCAGCAGUGGGGAAUAUUGCACAAUGUGCGCAAGCCUGAUGCAGCCAUGCCGCGUGUAUGAAGAAGGCCUUCGGGUUGUAAAGUACUUUCAGCGGGGAGGAAGGCGGUGAAGUUAAUAACUUCACCGAUUGACGUUACCCGCAGAAGAAGCACCGGCUAACUCCGUGCCAGCCGCCGCCGUAA
rnacentral:rRNA from 1 species